rfam:Strongylocentrotus purpuratus Contig135392_fixed, whole genome shotgun sequence.
CAAACGGCCCUUUUCAGGGCCACAAAUGAUCAAGAAAGAUACCAA